CUUGAGGACACUGGACAGGUCCUGGCUAAGGAUUGUGAAAUCCUUUAAGGAGCACAGAUGGACAAGGCCAGGGGCAUCGAGAGAGAGAUAAGCUGCCGCUAAUGGCCAGGAAACGGUCUUUUUGUGUGGACUUAUCUCAAGGAAAAUGGCCAUCUCAGGAGGUAUGCACAGGACUCUUGCUCAAGCCCCCAGGAAUGUCACGUAGGCAGCAGAAAAUGGAGGAUAAAAGAGGGUCCAAUAACCACAACGGUGGAAGCUGAUCCUUCACCACAACCACGGCAACGGGAGAGGCUUAUCUCUCACCACGACAGACUUGAGGGGUUCUCUCUGCCAACUGAUCUCUCACCGCAACGUGUAGACGGAUCUCUACGUGGAGACUGAUCUCUCACCACGACACGAGCUUCCUGCCUUCCGAUCCUCCUCUACGGACUGUUUGCUGACGGACUUCCCUGGGCCUGCUACCUGAGACCUGCUGCUUCCUCCCCGACCUGCACCCUCUCGUUGCCCAAGACCGGCCUCGCUGCUCCUGCCCUUCGGCCUCGGACCGUCGGAACAUCGUGCAACGGGACUGCUGCCGGAUCCUGGUGAGACUUCAAGGACAGCUGAGUGGGUCUCUUCUGGAGCAGAAGACUUGAGCUGUGGGUACUCGCCACAGGCUGCAGUAACUCCAAGCAUCUGAGAAGCUUGGUCCACCUUCAUGGAGAAUGCAUAGCCUUAUGCAGUAAGCCACAAUAGAGAGACAAGUGUGCAUCCCACUGGCUACCAGGAGGGCAGAUGAGAUCUGUGGGGCAAGUUUUUUUAUGUGAGACAGGUGGCAAUAGUCUAGGGAAUGCUGCUUAAAAAAAAAUCAUGUCAGUGAGAAAUUGCACAGUUAGCGAUCAAAUGAUUUUUUUCUUCAUAAAGUCAAAAGUGUUCUCAGUUUUGAAACUAAACAUUGAGAAAAUAAACUGUAGGUAUACAUAUAUAUUUAGAAAUGCAUAAAUUUGAAAUUUCCUCUGGCCAUCAUUUUAUCAUUAUUCAUAACUAUAAAAAAGCUAAAAAUACAACAUAUUAAACAGGCUUCUGCACAAUGGCUGUUGCAAUAUGUACCUUGAAAAGAAAAACUAAGGACAUUUGUUUUUUAUUACAGUAUUUACUCCAAAAAUUGAAAUAUCUUUAUCUUUGUAGUCAUAGGUGUAAAAUUUUAUAGGUUUGGGGAUAUCAUUUGUGGUUUUUAAUACAACAUUUUUCAUGUAUUUUAAACUGGUCAAGGAAGGAAGGAGAAAUUUUAGACCUACAUAAUGCUAUAAAUUCAUACUUUGUUUCCACUAUGUAAUUUAGCUCAGAAUUUGCUACAAUUGUGAUAUAUCAAGAGAAUUAUGCAUUAAAUUGGCCUCAAAAUUCUAUUUUUUUAAAAACCUUUCAAGAGGUAGAUAAAAACUGACCCAAGAGACAAAGCAUUUAGAAUACUAUUCAAUCCAACUUCAACAUGUAACUUCUCCCAACACAGCUAUCUAAUUCCUCAACUGUCACAACCUAUCCAGACAACGAUUUUUAUGUUGAAAAUUAUAUGUGUGAAUCCCAUAUACAUACUUGAAUAGGUACAUAGAAAUGCAGAUGAUUUCUAGAGCAGAAGCAAUCAACCAAAAUAACUUUGAUUUUAAUGACUGCCGCUUCAUAUCAGAACUAUUCAUCAUCAGUCUGCCUAGGACUUUAUAGGUGGAUACGACAGCAUGCAAAAAUGAAAGCCUGGUCAUAGCUCUGUUUUGGAAGAACUAAUAGCUGAUAUCUUGUACAACAAAUACUGUAAUAAUGUACAGUUGAAUCUUUCUCAAAGUGCACAGAAUACAUGACAAACCAUCUAUUUUUGAUAUUUAAUUUGUAGAGAAAGUAGGAAAUGGUUUAGUCAUUUCAAAUCACACACUUUCAGGUAAAUUUGGAGAAUUUAAUGCUUCUUUUUUUACUCAAGAUAUCUGCUAUCACACUGGUGACACUUAAGAGUUUUGAAUUUUUCUUUAUGACUUCGCAAGGUCUGGAUCUCCUGACUGUGGUGUAAGAAAGAGGACAAAUCAAUUUGCCAAAAAGAAGCAAUAGGAAUAUUUUCUUUAACAGACAACUUAAAAUUUUAUAAUCAUAGCUCUGAGCCAAUUACUGGCUUCAUGAGUAUUUCCUUGAUGAACUCCUAAGGAUACCUACAAUUUUCAGAUAUAUAUGCAUUUAGCUCAUACUGUCUAAAGCACUAAUUAACCAAGAACAAUAUUCUCAAACCUUUCAUAUGUUCCCAUAUCUUUUUCGGGCUAUUACUUAAAAAAAAAUAAUAGAUUUUGGAUCUGUAGCAAAAAAAAAAGGUAUUUAAUUAUCACCAUUCCAAUUAUUAGUGCCAAAUCUCAACAUUAUGAAGAUAUCAGCUAUUUACUGUGGUAACUAAUCCACAGUUAAAGACCAGUGCCAAGACAUAAAUGCUUCAGAAACACUGCUUAGCAAUUUCUUCAGAAAAAAUAUAGGGCAAAAAUUGCAUGUCAGUGGGAUUAGUUACUAUUUGACAAGUAUUACUUAAGUAUUGUGUUAUUAUUCAAUUUCUAUCUGCCAAAAUAAUUAUUCUGUUCAGUCAUUCCAAUGAAUAAGCACGAUUAUUUUAUGUUGUAUACACUGAAUUGUACAGUUUUAUUUGACAGAACCUUCAAUGGUGCAUUUUUAGACAUGAUUAUCACUCAAAUAUCAUUGCAGUUAAAUAAGAAUUAUUAAACUCAUUUGCUCAACCACCAGUGGAAACAUUAUCAACACAGUAGUUCAAAUUUUGCUCCACUGUCUUAAAGUUUUUAAGAAAAUAAAUAAGAAAAUAAAUAGUCUUCAGAAACACAGACAUACAAAUAAAUAAACUAAUAAAUAAAUAAACCAUAGAGCUGCAGAUAUUAACCUGUUUAGCAACCUCUUCUCCUAUAGUCAAAUUUUAGUUAAAAUUUCUCAGAUAAAAGUGUUAAAUAGUAUACAUUAUCUGUCAUGAAUUAUGGCAGCAUCUCCAGAAAAGAUAAAAUACUACUGUUAUUCUGUUUACUGGACUAAUAUUCAGAGGUAAUUGCAGCAUGAUCACUAAGGCACUACUGCAUUCUUAAAAUAUUGACCAUGCUGCUUUCUGUUGGUCAUUUUAACAAAUAUCCUGUUUGUAAAGAUUAAAUUGGAUGUAUAGGAAAAAACCUUAAUUUACAUUUCUGGCCAUGUUCAGAAUGUCAUAGGCAUGGAACAAAGAACACACUCCACAUGUUUUAUUGUCUAGAAAAGAUUUAAAAAAUAAAGGAAAGAUAACCAAUAAAUGUGUUCUCAUUAAAGCUUUUU
ensembl:lncRNA